rnacentral:lncRNA from 1 species
GAUAUAGUAACCGGAAAAAGUAUAUCGGAAUAAAUAUUACCUUUUUUUUUUUUCUUAAAGAAAUUCAUUUUUUAGAUUUACAAACUAUGAAAAUAGAAUAUUCAAUUUAUUGAUAGAAUAUCGACUUAAUUUUUAGAUUACAAAUAGUUAUAAAUUUAAAUACUUACUCGCUCGUUAUUAUUAUUACUGAUUUAUAAAAAAAAAGUGGAUUUAUAGGUAAAACUUAAAUGACUAUUCAUCUAUUGUAUUUUCAUGUAAAUAGGAGGAAAAAGUUCUAUGGAAAAGUGGUGGUUCAAUUCA